UUUUUUUUUUUUUGAGGGGGAGGGGGAACUAUUUUAAAAUUUAAUUAGAUUUAAUUUUUUUACCAUUCCAGAGUUCCAGAAUAAAGACUUGCGUCCUGAAGGUGGCAGUAUCAAAACUCAAGAUAGCCUCAUUUCCUAGUGUCACAGAUGGGUAGUUAGUUACCCUUAAGCAGAACAUCGCCGGUAUUUACACUUUGAAUUUCUAGAAAGUUUCACUUCCUCUGGAUCUGCCACCUCCUUUGUUGGGGAGCCCAUUGUGUAUUCUCAAGGACUCAGUGUGUUCCACAAAUGAUAUCAAAACUCCCCCUUUCUGAAGAUGACGUGGUAAAAAGAGAAGAUCUUGGCUUUCUUUCAUGGGUUUGAGUGUAAGAGUGCUUGAAUACAAACUGAUUUCCUGGAAAUACAGCAGCCUCAACAUUUUUAAUCUGUGAAUGAUAAAGAAAAAAAAGUCACAGCCUCAGCUUGUGAGUCACAGUUAAAAAAAAAAAAAUCAACACAACCUUCAUCCCCAGCAAUUUUAUUUCUAAGUAUCUUUCCUAGACAUGUAUUUGCAAAUGAUCAUAGAAACAUGUUCAAGCAUACUCAAUGUAGCAUUGUUUGUAACAGCGGGAAAAAAAAAAAAAAAACACAACUGACCAACUAAGGAAAAAUGGCUGAGUAAACUAUAAUGCAGUGAGUGAUACAACAGAAUAUACCCCUAGUAUGCACAUCCGAAGGAUAAAAUGGAUCUAUCUAUCUAUCUAUCAAUCAUCUAUCUAUCUAUCUAUGCAUCUAUCAUCUAUCUAUCUAUGCAUCUAUCUGUGGAAAGAUCUUUACGACAAAUUUUUUUUGUUUGUUUGUUUUUGUUUUUUGUCUUUUCUGGGGCCACACCCACAGCAUGUGGAGUUUCCUAGGCUAGGGGUCUAAUCGGAGCUGUAGCCGCUGCCUAUGCCACAGCCAUGGCAAUGCCAGAUCCGAGCCACGUCUGUGACCUACACCACAGCUCCUGGCAAUGCUGGAUCCUUAACCACUGAGUGAGGCCAGGGAUCGAACCUACAACCUUAUGGUUCCUAGUUGGAUUUGUUAACCAUUGAGCCACAACGGGAACUCCCAAGACAAAUUGUUAAAUGAAGACAGUAAUUUGUAGAAAAAUAUUUCUCUGUGUAUAUGUACACACACAUACAUAAUAUAUACUGUAUGUAAACAAAGCAAAAAGGUUCAGAAGGCUACCCAUCAAACCAAUUGCAGUGAUUACCUCUGGGGAAGAAAGUUGGGCUUGGGUGGAAGUUGGCUUAAAGUGGGUUUUUGCUCUGAUUGAAUUUUUUACAAUGUGUAUUGAUGUACUGCUUUGAAAAUUAAGCAUGUAAGAGUAAGGGACAAGGAAGUAAAGCAAGAAGAUGUGCCGUGUAGUACAGACCGGAAACAACCAACCUGUAUCCAGGUUGUGGUCUGCCACUUAUUUGACCUCUCUACUUCAGUUUCAUCCCCUGUAAAAUGGGGGUUAUAACAGUGCCCACCUCAGAAGGUGGCUGUAAAGAAGAAAUACGAUAUGUGUCAAGUGGUUAGCACCUAGAAUGAGUUAUGUAAGUGUUAGCUAGUAUUAUUGAUGAAAAGAAGAAUAAAUCAUUGGUGAUUCCUCUUUAGUCAGAAAAAUUAUUACUUUUCUUCCUAUUUUGGCACUAGUGGGACCUCAGGAAAUGUGCCUUAAAAAAUCAAUAUCAAGAAGCCCUGGAGAUGAGGCUUUUCGUGGUCUUGCUAUUAUCCAGUCAUCCUGGAACAAAAGGCAGGAUGGUCAAUUGGAGUGUACAGCCCAGCCAACAUUCAUAUCAAACACUGUGCUGGGUGCCUGAGACAAAGACCAAGGAGACAAGUUUUCUGCUUUCAUGGAAUUCAUUUUGUGUGAUGAGAGGUAUGGUGGAGGGGAGAAUCCAAUCAGGAUACAGAUCAUCUCAACACAAUGUGGUGCUCUAAUGGGAACAAUGAAGGCAGUUAGAAAAGGAACAGGUGGGAACAAAGAAAGCUUCCUGUAAGAGGUGUUGACUCUGAAAAGAUGGAACCAGUUAGCUGUGACAAUAAGGAAAGAAUGGGCAUCCCAAGCAGAGGAAACAUGAUUUAUGUGAGGGAACUACUAGCAGUUUGGUGCUGUUUUUAAUGUAGUAUGUAUAGGUUUUUAUGAUGUGUGGGUGUUUGGGUAGCAAACAGAAGGGGUAGGGGAGGAAUGGUUGGAGGAAGUAAAGAGUAACAAGUUUGGAAGGGUAAUGACAACCAAAGGUGACCUUAGUUAUGUAGUAUCAAUGUUGUAAUAAGAGCAGAAAGCAAGAUUGUAGUGGAAAGAUUACUGAAGACAGCCUGCCUUGGCAGAUCAAGGGAUUCUAUAUAAGAAGUCUCAACUUUGAGAAAUAACCUCUUGAAAAAAUAUUACAAAACAGUUUCUGAAUUCUUCUAUGUUGAAUGUAGUAGGUCAUGGCAGGCCAGUGCUCUUGCUGCAACAUCUAGAGGGAAAAAAAGGAUAAGUUACAAAAUUCAUAGUUGAAAAGAUAUCAGAGAGUUGGGCAAGCAAGACUAUAUGAACUAAAUUUCCAGACAGGGUAGAGUCUUUCCUAGGUAAGCUGUAAAUGUCUGGCCAUUUUCUUCUCUGGAGAUAUUUGCCAGUUCUGGGUGAUGACUAAGAAUCAGGCUUGGCCUAGGAAGAGGGACUCCCUCCAGGGAAAAGAGAUACAAGUUGCUUUCGGUGGUUGUGUGGGGCUGGCUAGACAGAUUGUACACUCCUGUAGAGCCAAACACAAAGGACCAUUCGCUGGUUCCUAGGUGAUGCAUCAUGCUAGGAACUUAGCCAGAAGCUUAUAAAAGGUGGAGUGAAAGAUCUCAGUUUCACAAUACUUAAGAGAUGAAGUCUGACUCUAAGGAGGGGUCCUGCCACAAAUAUAUAGUCAGUUACUUCCUCAAGACAUUUGCUAAAUAUUGAAACUGCAUGGCAUCAGAGGGCAAAGAGAUAAACUCAAAACCUCUAAAGGGAAGAGCUGACUCUGAAGAGCUGGAGAGACACAGACCCAGCAGGUUCUCAAUCAAAAGCCAGGAGGGCCAUACCUUGGAAAUGGAUGAAAAGCUAUCCCUGUUUAGGUUGAGGUGAUCUGCUUACUUGAUGGAAAAUGACAUCAUAUGUAGCCUCUGGAUUCUUAUAUACAAUGUCCGGCAUAUAAUCAAAAUUACAAAAUAUGUAAAGAACAGGAAUUUGUGGCUAAUAAUCAAGAGAAGAAACAGACAACAUAAGCAAAGCCACAGAUGAUUAUAUAUUACAGUUAACUGACAAUGACUUUAAAUAUAACUAUGACUAAUAAAUUAAAGUACGGAAAAAUGGAUGAAAAUAUAGAGAAGUCCAACAGAGAAUUUCUAAUUUAUAUUUGUAUUUAUAAAAAAGAAUCAAAUACAUAGUGUAGAAAUGAAAAAUAUACUAUCUGAAGUUUUUAACAUUUUGGAUGAGUUUGGCAGCACAUGGCAAAGGCAGAGUGAAUGAACUUGAGGAUGAGUCAGCAGAAAUUAUCCAGAUUGAAAUACAUAAAAUAUUAUGGAAGAAAAAGAACAACACAUAAAGACAUGUGGAACACAAAUAGUCUAAGAACAGUCUGACUUACUUAUUACUUAAGAGAGAGAGAGUGGGGGGCAGAAGAAAUUUAUAAAAGCAUUAGCCCAAAAAUGUUUAAGAAGACUACUGAACCCCAGCAGGGUUAAAUAAAAGAAAAUUACACAUAACCAUAUCAUAACCAAACUGAUGAAAGCCGAAGAUGAAACAAAUCUUAAAAAUAGGUAAAAAGUGGAGUUUCCAUUAUGGCUCAGUGGGAACGAAUCUGACUAUUAUCUAUGAGGAUGCAGGUUUGAUCCCUGGCUUCGCUCAGUGGGUUAAGGAUGCAGUGUUGCCAUGAGCUGUGGUGUAGGUUGCAGACGAGGCUCAGAUCUGGCGUUGCUAUGGCUUGUGGCGAAGGCCAGUGGCUAUAGCUCCAAUUUGACCCCUAGCCUGUGAACCUUCAUAUGCUGUGGGUGCAGCCCUAUAAAAAAGGAGGUUAAAAACACAUUUUACCUUCAAAAGAACAAGAAUAAGAGUAAUUACAGUCUUUUCAACAGGAACUAUGGGAAAAGAUGAUGAAAUAGUAUCUUAAAAUUGCUGAAAGAAAAAAAUUUUAUGUACAUUACAAUGAUCACAAAUAUUUUACCUGUACCAGUUAUGGCUUUGUUGUCUGCUAUCUCUAUUUAUGGCCAUUUUUAGGUCUUUGGAACAUUCUUUAGCACUCUGAGUUAUGUGGCCUCACACUCUAUUAAUAUUAUAUAAUUUGAGGCUUUGCAAUUGUGCAGCAUAAAGAUCACCCAUGCUAGGCAUUCCCUUUGUGGCGCAGUGGUUAACAAAUCCAACUAGGAACCAUGAGGUUGUGGGUUCGAUCCCUGGCCUUGUUCCUGGGUUAAGGAUCUGGUGUUGCCAUGAGCUGUGGUGUAGGUUGCAGACACAGCUUGGAUCUGACAUUGCUGUAGCUUUGGCGUAGGCCAGCAGCUACAGCUCUGAUUAGACCCCUAGUCUGGGAACCUCCAUAUGCCUCGGGUGUAGCCCUGGAAAAGACAAAAAGACAGGAAAAAAAAAAAAAAAAA
rnacentral:lncRNA from 1 species